AGUGAACGCUGGCGGUAGGCCUAACACAUGCAAGUCGGACGGCAGCACAGUAAGAGCUUGCUCUUACGGGUGGCGAGUGGCGGACGGGUGAGGAAUACAUCGGAAUCUACUUUUUCGUGGGGGAUAACGUAGGGAAACUUACGCUAAUACCGCAUACUACCUACGGGUGAAAGCAGGGGAUCUUCGGACCUUGCGCGAUUGAAUUAGCCGAUGUCGGAUUAGCUAGUUGGCGGGGUAAAGGCCCACCAAGGCGACGAUCCGUAGCUGGUCUGAGAGGAUGAUCAGCCACACUGGAACUGAGACACGGUCCAGACUCCUACGGGAGGCAGCAGUGGGGAAUAUUGGACAAUGGGCGCAAGCCUGAUCCAGCCAUACCGCGUGGGUGAAGAAGGCCUUCGGGUUGUAAAGCCCUUUUGUUGGGAAAGAAAAGCAGCAGGUUAAUACCCCGCUGUUCUGACGGUACCCAAAGAAUAAGCACCGGCUAACUUCGUG
rnacentral:rRNA from 1 species